GACGAACGCUGGCGGCGUGCUUAACACAUGCAAGUCGAACGAAGUGGCGAACGGGUGAGUAACGCGUAAUCAACCUGCCCUUCAGAGGGGGACAACAGUUGGAAACGACUGCUAAUACCGCAUACUGAAGGAGGGGAUUGCGUCUGAUUAGCUAGUUGGAGGGGUAACGGCCAACCAAGGCGAUGAUCAGUAGCCGGUCUGGGGGGAGGGACGGGCCAAAUGGGACUGGGGCACGGCCCAGACUCCUACGGGGGGGAGCCGUUGGGAAACUUCCGGAAUUGGCGAAAGUCUGACGGAGCAAAGCCGGGUGGGUGGUGACGGGUUUCGGGUUGUAAAGCUCUGUUAGUCGGGACGCGGUACCGGAACAGAAAGCCACGGCUAACUACGUGCCAGCAGCCGCGGUAAUUC
rnacentral:rRNA from 1 species